UUCUUCUCUCACUCGUGAAACACCACCAUCUCUCUCUAAACUCUAUAUUUUCACGUUAGAUCUUCAGAACUACUCAUUUGGAGCAACAUCUCUCAUUGCUCCUUUGAGACUAAGUGUAGAGUUUAUUGAGGGCUUCCUUCUAAUUGGAGCAAAACAUCGUUUUGCCACAUUUGACUUUUGAGGCUUUUCUUCAUUUCUUUCUCUUUGCUUUGAGGUGUUGACGACAUGCCUACGCCAAAAUGAGAGCUUGGGAGGAUUUUGGAGCUUAAGGUUUGUUUUGUUUUACUUUCUUUUGUAUAGCCAUGGGCUUUCUUGUAUUAGACUUUGACCUGCUUUUGUUGUAACUAAGCUAAGUCUUGGAGACUUGUAGCCUAUAGGGUAUAAACUUAUAUUUAUUUACUCAUGUUCUAGGAUCGAUGAAUGUAUAAAUACAUGUGAUAUUAUUUUGUAAAACUCGGAGGACUUUUAUAUAUGGAGUAUAGUUUUG